rnacentral:rRNA from 1 species
GCGUUGUCCGGAAUCACUGGGCGUAAAGGGCGCGUAGGUGGUCUGAUAAGGGUGUGGUGAAAGCCCGGGGCUCAACCCCGGGUCGGCCGUGCCGACUGUCAGACUGGAGUACUGUAGGGGCAGGUGGAAUUCCGGGUGUAGCGGUGGAAUGCGUAGAGAUCCGGAGGAAGACCGGUGGCGAAGGCGGCCUGCUGGGCAGUUACUGACACUGAGGCGCGACAGCGUG